rnacentral:rRNA from 1 species
GACGGAGGAUGCAAGCGUUAUCCGGAAUGAUUGGGCGUAAAGCGUCCGCAGGUGGCAGUUCAAGUCUGCUGUCAAAGACCGGGGGCUUAACUUCGGAAAGGCAGUGGAAACUGAACAGCUAGAGUAUGGUAGGGGCAGAGGGAAUUCCUGGUGUAGCGGUGAAAUGCGUAGAUAUGCGGAGGAACACCGAUGGCGAAGGCAAUCCCCGUGGACCUGUACUGA